UUUAAAUAAACUUCUCUGUUUUUAUUGCGGAAAGGGCUAUUAGUCUGCCUUCUGGUGAAUAAAUAAUUGUGAGCUUGAUUUCAGACUGCUUAUUUUAGCAUAUCAAAGGUCACGCAAUGAUAAGUUUUAUUGCACUAAGUUGCAUUGCUUAUAGAAUCCAGAAAAGUUGGGGCUGUAAUAUUAUUAAUAAUAUUCAAAACAAUAACUUUUGUAAAUGUUAUCUAUAUGACACACUCAUUUGCUGAUGUUUUUGUGGGCGCUGGACAUGUGCUGCUAUUAGCUUUUUGUUAAAUGUUUUUUUUGAUCUCAGAUCCGACAAGUUCUGGGGUUUCCUAUUCUUUUUUAUUUUAAUUCCUUUAUUAGACGUGCUCGACUUUUGCUUUUCCUCUCCUGGGUCCUUGACAGAAUGGCGAAUUAACAUGGCUCGCUCCUGUAAAGUGGAUUUCAGCUUAACCUCUUUAUUGAGGGAAGGACUUUAUCGGCACCAGUACCUUCGGUUAUCUUUUCGGUGCUCUCUCACGGCGACUUCGACAAUGGUGGGCUUCGCUCUGCAGCAAACAUUACUAGCUAAUAUUGAAAUCCUCAACCGGCUAGAUACUGAGCUUGAAUU